CCCCUUUGAAAUCAUUUAUUGGGCCUUUUGCUAAUGGUUCAUGGAGUCAUCAAGAAAGGACAGAGUAAAAACAUCACUUUGGGUGAAGUCACAGUAGGUUGUGUUGUUUUCCUUCAGUUGGUAGUGCGACAAGG
rnacentral:snoRNA from 1 species